UACAGAGGGGGCAAGCGUUGUUCGGAAUUACUGGGCGUAAAGGGCGCGUAGGCGGCCUGUUAAGUCGAACGUGAAAUCCCCGGGCUCAACCCGGGAACUGCGUCCGAUACUGGCAGGCUUGAAUUCGGGAGAGGGAUGCGGAAUUCCAGGUGUAGCGGUGAAAUGCGUAGAUAUGACAUAGAACACCGAUAGCGGAGGCAGCUUGCUACACGAUCAUUGACACUGAGGCACGAAAGCGUGGGGAGCAAACAGG
rnacentral:rRNA from 1 species